UAUCAUUAAUCACCUCUCUUAUCGAACCCAUAUAUAAGAUGGUGGAUUGCGGUUGGCAGGUGGUGCAUGGAACCUUGCUUGAAUAUUUUCUAUCAUGGGAGUGGUUUAUGUGGGGAAAUUUUUUGCUAUAUAAGGAGAGCAUUUUAUGAGUUGGAUGAAGUGGUUUUCCACUAGCUAAUCAAAGAUUAAGUGGUUCAAGUGAAGAUAAUUGCAAUGUUUGGAAUAAAGCUUGGUCUGUGACCAAUGCAGUACUUUAUCUCUGUUUCUGCUAGCUAUUGCAUUGCUCCCGGACCAAGCUUCAUUCCCUACAUAAGUUAUCGAAUUAAUUUUUAAUUUCUUGAUGUUCAAUGGAUCAUCAUAAUCUUUCUUUCUUUGUUUCUUUACUGUGCUCUCUUUUUCAAUGGAAUUCAGGCUUCUUUUUUUUUUUUUUUUCUAUUUACAGUUGAUUAAUCAGUAAUUUAUCAUUCUUGCUGCAGCUAUAAAGAAGGAAAGACAGGGUGCUGAAGUAGUUCAUUCGCAUGGUUUCGCUUUGGCAGAAUUAAUUUUUCAACUUCUUGAAAUAUAUGACAAUUUCAUCUUUCUUUACAUUCAGUGGGUCUCUCCCUUCCCACCUUGUCCACCUCUUGCUGUGGCCAACUCUCAAAGCCUUAUGUUAUUGUGAAGCUCUGAGACGCCAAGUUGAUCCUGCUGACUGCCGUCUAGAAAAUGGUGGCGAUAGCGACAAUCUAUGGCUGCUCUGUUUCUUUCUACCAUAGCCAGGCUUUGGCAUGUUAAACUGGACUCGUGUGCUAGGUUUAGGAACCUUUAAUUUAAGCCAUGGAUUGAUUUAUCUUGUGAGAUGGGCUUCAUUAGUUUCUAAACCUUUUGUUUGGUCUAUUUUAGCUCUUAUAUACCCAUUAAUGAUAUUUACACCUUUUGACGGAAAUAGAAAAUGCCUGAACCUUGGUGUCAAGCUUUUCAAGCUCAACCCUUAGUUUUGCAGUGUCCUUAUCUUCAGGAUUCUUUUUCUUAUUCUCUUCGUCACCAUCUUUUUUUAUCCUCCUUAUCUUCGUUGUCCAUGUCUUUAAAUUUCUCCUCCUUCCCCUUUGUUUUUAGAUUUUCUUUGUUCUCCUUUUUAACACGAGUUUUAGGUUAUUGAAUUUGAUUGUGAAUUGGGCUUUAAUCUGAGGCCCUUUAUAUGUAUAUAUGAUAGGAAAUAUUGAGAGAGAAAACGAUAAUUUAAUCCUUGGUUUUAUGUAUAUAUUCUCUUGAGUUGCGAUGUAUUAAGUAGGUUUGAUGGAGAGGAUUACAAAAUAAGGAUGCGUCAUGCAUGGCAUUAGCGCCUAAACUAUAAGCCUCCCUAUUGCCAGAGCCUCUAACACAAUGAAAAUAAACAUGAUCCACAUAAGUGGAAUAUUGAAUUACAUCUAACAAGACAUCAUGAAUAUAUUGAGGACCAACAGAUUUUCUUAUGGCAUU